ensembl:lncRNA
GUAUGUGUGGGUGUGGGUGGGUGGGUGGUGGUGGGGGUGACUUAGCCCGGGGCGCCGGCGCCGGUUCGGGAGUAAAGAUGGAGCGGGAGUCACGGAGGCGCAUCCAUGAACUCCGCUUCUUUGGAUUUCGGGGCCCAGCUGUUCUCUCUCCCCGGAGCCUGGGCUGCCGGAAUCUUACUGAGCUGCAGGAGCGCUCUGUCUCUGUCUCUCCUUUUCCUCUCUCCCUGCCCUCCCAUCUCUUCUUCUCUCUGUCUUUCUCCUCUCUUUCCUUUUCUCUCCCCUUCCCUCUUCCUCUCUCCAUCUCUGUGUGUGUGUGUCCCCCCCGCCCCCGGCAUUAACCGAUAUCCCCAACCUCACCUGCUGUUUUGGAGACCAGCCUCUCCGAGCCCGGGCAGCUGGGAGUGUCCCCCCGCCAGGCCCUUCGGAGGAGCCCGGGUUGCCCGCUCUCGCUCCCCUCCCGCAGUGCAUUGUUAUGCAGCCCCCUUUGUUCCGAGUUCCAGCCCGUUUCUCUCCACCUCGGAACCGCUUUGGGGCUUGGCCUGCCUCUCGCCAGCUUAUCCUCUGCGCGGCUCUGAGUGUGGCGCCGGCCGUCAGUAUUCCCCGGAUGCCUAAAGAGUUAGUACGGGUAGAAAUUGCCCAGCACGUUAGGGGUGUGGACGCGGUGUGUAGGAAGUCUCCCUGCUUUCCACAGCCCCCGAGUUGGGAGAAAUGACAAUUUGCUUUUCUCCAAAGGUAAACAGAGGCAAGAUCGUAAUGGUUCUGAUACCUGAUUAGCAUGGAACUGUGUACUUCAGGCUGGCCUUGAGCUUACUAUGUAGUAUAGGGUUGGCCUCGAAGGAGAUCCUCCUACUUCAGCCUCCCGAGUGCUGGGAUUACAGCAAAAAUGCACAUACUUUUAGAGGCUCGUAGACCUGGUGCCCACGAAGGUGCCGACCUUGGAUCAGAGCUCUGCCGGUGCCGCCCUGGAAUCCUAUCCAGAACAAGAUGGCUUUUUGAGAAGCAAUAAACAAAUUUUCUCUCAAUUUUCUAUAAUUUCCACAAACACUUUCAGCUUUGUAUGUUUGAAAUUCUGUGUGCUGUGGCAUGGUAAAUUACUCUCUAACUUGCUAUUUUCUUAGAAAGUUAACACAAACACUAGUAACUGGGAGGGGGUAGAGCUCCGGUGUUUCCCUCCGCUGUCCGUGGCAGUAAAGCGGCCUCUACUGGACAUUAAUGGUGAUUUCCAAGAACAAGGAGCUCUGGAAAUCAAGAAAUGGUGCAUGUGAGAGUAUGGGUUCACCCCAGCAUCACAAAAAAAAUGAAACCAAAAUCGAAACCCCAAAGCAAAAGACAGUAGAAGAUCAGCAGAACAGCACAGUUACCAGGACCAUGAAGAUCGGUUUCAGUAGUAAAGGUUUGUUACCAAAGUUUUAGGGCAAGAGUCAGAGACCACUACAGGGAGAAAGGACAAAAACUCCUGGGCCCCUAACCGGUCACUCAUUAAAAGUGCAAUUUAUGCUUUCUUCUGAGGCCCAGGGAGUUAAAAGCAGUUUUUGCUAAAACCCUUGAGUCUACCCAACAGGUAACUAAGAGUAGAACCAAACUUGGCCUUUCUUUUUGUAUCCUUUAUUACCUUAAAACAUUGGCUAUGCUUACGUUCCUCAUUUAGGAAAAGUUGGCAGAGCCAAGUUUAUUAGCCCCGAAUUUACCUGCCCCGUCUCAGCCCCCUUCAGACUGGAGGACACCAUGGGAGGGGUAACUAAAGUAAUGUUCAGUGUUCAGGGGGAUUCCGACGACCAGAUUUUAUAGUGUCCCGAUUCCACGCCCUUCCUCUCCUUGCAGCAACACCUAAGAAUCUCCAGCGGUUGUCCUCAUCCAAUAGUCAUCCGGGUCCCAGGAAGAGCAAGCUUCAUGUGACCGGGACCACACACAGGCGGUCUCCAUGGGAAUCCAGCUGCGCUCAACAGUCUCACUGGCUUGGGCCACUGGUGGCAAUGCAUGACUGUCCCACAGGCCGCUGGUACCACCUGUCGGGACCGUUCCAUGCCACCCGAGGGGACACUCAUGCACGUACCACUGGUGGCUCAGGGCCGCCUGGCCGCGAGGCAUACGUUGUGAUCUGUUCUUCUAGAGCUCGGAAGCAGGACUGAGAUAACGAUGACCAGGCUCCACCAUCUCAGCUGGUCCUGAAAAGCUGGCUUCCUGCUUUCGUGGCUGGGCCAGUCGGGGCCCCUGCCUUAGCGUGAGCCCCGGUCCAGCUAUUCGAACCAGAGAACCUUCCCCAUCUGCUAUUUCCUUGUUCAGGACCACCUUUAUCUUUGUCAGAGCUGUGCUCCCUUUUCUCUUACUUUGAAUGAAAGCUUUUUCCGGCAGAUUUGUUUAUAGUUUCAAUUUCAAUUCUCACGGAAGCCAGUGACGGAGCCCGGCCUGGCCACGCCUCCCGAGGUCCCCUAGUCAGACAGGGGAUGAGCCAGGGUUCCGGUGGGAAAGGAGCUUGAAUCAGGUCGGCC